rnacentral:lncRNA from 1 species
AUAUAAGCAAGACUCGGGAGUGGCACACCAAGCACAGUGAGCUUAGUUAACAGUCACCUUCCCCACCAUUCCAGCUCCCUGGUGAGGAGCGCAGUAGAAGGUGUAGGUGCCCUUCUCCUUCAAGGUCACCUGGUAGGUCUCGCCUGGGGCAUUCAGUAGGUCCUCCUCGGGCAUGGAGAUGGAGCCGACGUUGACACCCGCGGGGAUCUCGUCCUCGUCGAACACCACGUUGUGGGGGAACCCGGCGUUGUUCUUGAACACGAUCGUCUCCCCCGAGGGCACCGAGAACUCGUUGGGCACGAAGGCC